GCAUUGAUGAUGUAACGGUAACAUCGGGUCUUCCCAUCUUGACAACUGGUGUGGCCCGUCCCCGGGUUCGACUCCCGGUCAAUGCA
rnacentral:tRNA from 1 species